CUAGUGAAUUUGAUUCUAGUUUUUUAUACAUGGCUUUUGGAUAGAUUUACAUGUAAGUUAUGGCGUGAAUAAUAUUAAUAUGUUUCAGUUUAAUCUUAAUGGUUAAAAUUGGAAAGGGAUUUUCGCAGUUUAUAUUUUUAUUUUUUUAUUAAGGUGAGAAAUAGCUAAUUCAUGAAUUGACUAGCAAAUUUUGUGCCAGCAGCUGCGGUUAUACAAUUAGUCAUUGUCAUUUUUUUUGGGUUAUAUUUAUAUGUUUAAUGAAUUUGAUUAUAUUAAGUUUGUUUUAAGGUGAAAUUUAAAUAUAUUUUAUUAAUUUGGUUAAGUAGAUUAUAUGAAAUUUUAUUAUUUAAACUAGGAUUAGAUACCCUAUUAUUUUGAAUGUAAUAUUUAACUUUUAGUAUUAAUAGUUAAGAUCUUAAAAUUAAAAGAAUUUGACGGUAAUUUAGUCAUUUUAGAGGAGCCUGUCCUUUAAUCGAUAAUCCACGAUAAAUUUAACUAUAAUUUUUAAUUUGUAUACCUCUGUUAUGUUGAGUGUUUUAUUAGGAUUUUACUCUCAUGUAUUUAUGAUAAUAAUUUGAUAUCAGGUCAAGGUGCAAUUUUAUUAUAGGUUGAGAUGGGCUACAUUGAUGAUUUCAUUAAUUUUGGAUUGGGUUUUGUAUUAUCCCCAUGAAAUAGGAUUUAAUUGUAAUGUUUAUUAUAUUUUAAUAGUGAUAUUUGCUCUGGAUUAAGUACACAUCGCCCGUCGCUCUCAUUAUUAAGAUGAGAUAAGUCGUAACAAAGUAGGUUUACCGGAAGGUGAACCUGGAAAUAAAC
rnacentral:ncRNA from 1 species